rnacentral:rRNA from 1 species
UUCCGGUUGAUCCUGCCGGACCCUAUUGCUAUCGGGGUGAGACUAAGCCAUGCAAGUUGAGCGCUCCCUAGCUACGUUGGGAGAGCAGCAAACAGCUCCGUAACACGUAGUUAAUCUACCCUUAGGACGGGCAUAACCCUGGGAAACUGGGGCUAAUAUCCGAUAGAUGGAAACGCCUGGAAUGGUUUUCCACCGAAAGGUUCUUGGGAACAUGCUUCCAAAAACGCCUUAGGAUGAGACUGCGGCCGAUCAGGCUGUUGGCGAGGCAACGGCUCACCAAGCCUAUAACCGGUACGGGCCGUGAGAGCGGUAGCCCGGAGAUGGGUACUGAGACAAGGACCCAGGCCCUACGGGGCGCAGCAGUUGCGAAAACUCCGCAAUGCGCGAAAGCGUGACGGGGCUACCCCGAGUGCCGCCCGUUGAGGGCGGCUUUUCCGUGGUGUAAGGAGCCGUGGGAAUAAGGAGAGGGCAAGACUGGUGUCAGCCGCCGCGGUAAUACCAGCUCUCCGAGUGGUGGGGACGAUUAUUGGGCUUAAAGCGUUCGUAGCCGGCUUAACAAGUCUUCCGGUAAAUCCAACGACCUAAUCGUUGGGCUGCGGGAGAUACUGUUGGGCUAGGAGGCGGGAGAAGCCGACGGUAUUCUCGGGGUAGGGGUGAAAUCCUGUAAUCCCGGGAGGACCACCAGUGGCGAAAGCGGUCGGCUAGAACGCGCUCGACGUGAGGGACGAAAGCUGGGGGAGCGAACCGGAUUAGAAACCCGGGUAGUCCCAGCUGUAAACGAUGCGGCUAGUGUGGGGUGG